UUGUCCACUCUCUCUCUCUCUCUGCCUCUCCGUAGAAUGCACACUCAAACAUUCCAACAAAUGUUUCACUCGAUUUUGAAAUUGGCUGGUUAAAAAGUUGCACAUUUAUGCAGUAAAAUAAGGGAAGCACAUGAAAAGCUUGUUCUGCGCUUUAUGGGCGUUGCUGGUCCAUUUAUAUCGCAUGACUCCAGGGCAGGUUUCUCUUUCACUCAGACGUUCUUUUGGGACAAGCAUCUUUUAUAAAAGUGUCAUCAGUCAUGGAGAGUCUCUCUCGUGCUAACAGUCUCUUCGCUCUGGAUCUCUAUCGGACUCUGAGCGAGAGCAGCGCCGAGGGAAACAUGUUCUUUUCCCCACUGAGCAUCAGCGCAGCGCUCAGCAUGGUCUACUUGGGAGCUCGAGGAGACACUGCCAAAGAAAUGGAAAAGGUAUGAAGUAUAAGCAUCUGGAGAACAAGCAAAGGUCUGUGUGGGAGUUUUUUU